UUUGACUGUUGAUGACUCCAGCCCUGUGAAGGUUGAUGGACUGAUACCUGGCACUGAGUAUACCUUCAGCAUCACAAGGAUUGCAGACAAUGGAAAUCAAAGCAAAGCAACCUCGCUAUCUGUCUUCACAGAGCCCAGCCCUCCUGUGCAGAUUACAGUCGACCAGGUCAGCAGCGAGUCACUGUCUCUGCAUUGGGACCCCCCUGCUGGUGAAGUGGAGAGUUACAUUGUGACUUGUUGCAGUGAGGGAGACAUUAUGAAAGAGACAACUGACACAAACAAGAUGACAUUCAACAACCUGAAGCCAGGGGAGUGUUACUCUCUACAGGUUUCUACAAAACUUCGGAAUGGAAGAAUAAGCAGUCCAACUGUAACAUCUGCCAACACAAAGACACACCUAGAGAGCUUACUGGAGGAUCUGGGGUUGGAUCACCACGAUGAAGAGAAGCUAUCCCUCAGCACAGUUCUAAGCAUUGACGAGAAGACCAUUACCGAUGAACCUGCCAAGUGUAAUUCAGAUCUUCCAUGGUAUUUUCUGAAGAAACUAAUGAUGGUUAAUGUGACAGCUAGGAAUGUGAAAUGUACAUCUGCAUGCGAGUCAAACUCUGGGGAUCGCUUAGAUCUUGAUAAUCUUGUCAAAAGUACACAUUCAGGUGACACACUGAAUCCCCU